UGUACAGAAUAUUGCUGUAAAUUUCAAAUCUACAAUGGCGGGAUGAUCUUCGACAGUCGAGAUUGGGGUAGUGCGCAAAAUGAGUGAUUCACACUUGUGCUAAGUGACUUAUUAAUUUUUUUUUCCAUAUUUGGUAACUAUCAUGCUGGUAACUUUAUAUAGAGGUAUCUACAUUCGCGUUUCAUAUUGGUAACCCCGGAUUCAACCUCCAUCCGCGGGGACCGAAGUAGUCUUGCGCGGGGUUUUAGCAGCGCCGUCGCGGUAAGAUUUCAAACAUUCUUCGUCGCUAUAGCACCUGAGGACAGAAGUUGUUCAUGUUAUUUAGAGUUUUUGUUCACACCAGGAGCGAAGGCGGUAUGUGAGAAGCUACAGUUCAUUGUAUUAGUAAGUUGACGGUUUUUUUUUUAAUGUUGAACAUCGCGCCCGCCAUAGACACGGUGAAAGUUACAUGCUUCGACUGUUGGGAUUCACGGGAACUUAGUGUUGAAUACCACACUCGGUCGUGAUUAUUUUGUGGUGUUAUUCAAAUGUGCAAAUGCAGUCAUCCGUUAAAUCGAGAGCCCAAAUUAAAACGAAUCACCAAAGCUUGAGGUAAGUCGAUGUUCACGGAGGAUAGCCCGGUUAAGUGAUUAAUGUACGUAAUCAGCUAGAUAUACAGUUUAUGUAUCGGAGGCCAGAUGAGAGCUUGAGCAAAGGACGUUACCGACACCCUCAUCGUUAGAGCAGGCCUGUCCACCAAAUAGGACCGUUCGAGGGUGGGAGUGAGACUGCCCGUUAUAAAUACCAGUGUGACAAUUUCUUGACCAUGACAUCCCUAACGUUAAUGGCUUACAUUUCUGUAUAAGUACGGUUUUAAGUGCAAGUUACUCUGUGUAAUUUGCUUAGAGUUUGUUUGUAGAUUCACUUAUACUUAAAUGUACUUUAAAUGUAAAAAGCUUAAAGAUAAAAGUCUAUAGUAACUAUUAACUAUUGUCACAUGUGGUAUUGUUUGUUUUAGGACACACUUGCAGGCCACUGGAUGCUGACAACUGAAGGUUAGGUUUUGUGUAUUCAAUCUUGAGUACCAGGAUGGGGCAGCGUGUAUCUUGGAGUCCAAUGAAAGAUGUUAAUCCAGAGAGUGGAACAAGAAGAAGCGUCAUCUAAAAUGCCAGGAUACAGAAGAAACAGGUUGCAGUGAACCCACAUGUUGCCGCUCUUCUAAACAUAAUGAUGAAUUUUCAGUGAAAUCGAUGAAAAUUCUAGCUACUUUGUUGUGCUCUGAUGGAUCAAGAUGUGGACCGUUUUACAGACUCACAUGGGCUUUGUUUUGCGAUGUUGUUACAUGAUGGUUAUGUU